rnacentral:misc_RNA from 1 species
GAAAUGCGAUAAGUAAUGUGAAUUGCAGAAUUCAGUGAAUCAUCGAAUCUUUGAACGCACCUUGCGCUCCUUGGUAUUCCUUGGAGCAUGCCUGUUUGAGUAUCAUGAAAUCUUCAAAGUAAAUCUUUUGUUAACUCAAUUGGUUUCUACUUUGGUAUUGGAGGUCUUUGCACCUUCACACCUGCUCCUCUUUGUUCAUUAGCUGGAUCUCAGUGUUAUGCUUGGUUCCACUCGGCGUGAUAAGUUAUCUAUCGCUGAGGACACUGUAAAAGGUGGCCAAGGUAAAUGCAGAUGAACCGCUUCUAAUAGUCCAUUGACUUGGACAAUACUUUUAUGAUCUGAUCUCAAAUCAGGUAGGACUACCCGCUGAACUUAAGC